rnacentral:rRNA from 1 species
AACGAACGCUGGCGGCGCGUCUUAACCAUGCAAGUCGAGCGGCAGGCAGCAAUGCCGAGAGCGGCGGACUGGUGAGUAACACGUGGAUAACGUACCCCGAUGUCCGGGACAGCCUGUAGAAAUAGAGGGUAAUACCGGAUAGAUCACUGUUUACGUGAGGUAGACAGCGGGAAAGGAGCUUCGGCUCCGCGACGGGAUCGGCCUGCGGCCCAUCAGCUGGACGGCGGGGUAAAGGCCCGCCGUGGCGAGGACGGGUAUCCGGCCUGAGAGGGCGGACGGACACAUUGGGACUGAGAUACGGCCCAGACUCCUACGGGAGGCAGCAGGUAAGAAUAUUCCGCAAUGGGGGGAACCCUGACGGAGCGACGCCGCGUGAACGAAGAAGGCCGGAAGGUUGUAAAGUUCUUUUCUGUCCGAGGAAUAAGUUUCGGAGGAAAUGCCGGGACGGUGACGGUAGGGCAGGAAUAAGCACCGGCUAAUUACGUG